rnacentral:rRNA from 1 species
UACGAACUGUGCAAACGUUAUUCGGAAUUACUGGGCGUAAAGGGCGCGUAGGCGGCCUGCUAAGUCGAACGUGAAAUCCCCGGGCUCAACCCGGGAACUGCGUCCGAUACUGGCAGGCUUGAAUCCGGGAGAGGGAUGCGGAAUUCCAGGUGUAGCGGUGAAAUGCGUAGAUAUCAGGAGGAACACCGGUGGCGAAGGCGGGUCUCUGGGCAGUAACUGACGCUGAGGAGCGAAAGCGUGGGGAGCGAACAGG